GACGAACGCUGGCGGCGUGCUUAACACAUGCAAGUCGAACGGAAAGGCCCUGCUUGCCGGGUACUCGAGUGGCGAACGGGUGAGUAACACGUGGGUGAUCUGCCCUUCACUUCGGGAUAAGCCUGGGAAACUGGGUCUAAUACCGGAUAGAAGCCAUUUUUAGUUUGAUGGUUGGAAAGUUUUUUCGGUGUAGGAUGGGCUCGCGUCCUAUCAGCUUGUUGGUGGGUUAAUGGCCUACCAAGGCGGCGGCGGGUAGCCGGCCUGAGAGGGUGGACGGCCACAUUGGGACUGAGAUACGGCCCAGACUCCUACGGGAGGCAGCAGUGGAGAAUAUUGCACAAUGGGCGCAAGCGUGAUGCAGCGAAGCCGCGUGGGGGAUGACGGACUUCGGGCUGUAAACUCCUUUCGCUAGGGACGAAGCUUUUUGUGACGGUACCUAGAUAAGAAGCACCGGCUAACUACGUG
rnacentral:rRNA from 1 species